CCCAGACUCCUACGGGAGGCAGCAGUGGGGAAUAUUGCACAAUGGGGGGAACCCUGAUGCAGCGACGCCGCGUGGGUGAAGGAGCACCUCGGUGCGUAAAGCCCUCUCGGCAGGGAAGAAAAGCGAACAGGUUCGCCUGGACGGUACCUGACUAAGAAGCCCCGGCUAACUACGUGCCAGCAGCCGCGGUAAUACGUAGGGGGCAAGCGUUAUCCGGAUUCACUGGGUGUAAAGGGAGCGUAGACGGCCAUGCAAGCCAGGGGUGAAAGCCCGGGGCCCAACCCCGGGACUGCCCUUGGAACUGCAUGGCUGGAGUGCGGGAGGGGCAGGCGGAAUUCCUGGUGUAGCGGUGAAAUGCGUAGAUAUCAGGAGGAACACCGGUGGCGAAGGCGGCCUGCUGGACUGCAACUGACGUUGAGGCCCGAAAGCGUGGGGAGCAAACAGGAUUAGAUACCCUAGUACAU
rnacentral:rRNA from 1 species